rnacentral:rRNA from 1 species
AUUGAACGCUGGCGGCAUGCCUUACACAUGCAAGUCGAACGGCAGCACGGGAGCUUGCUCCUGGUGGCGAGUGGCGAACGGGUGAGUAAUACAUCGGAACGUACCCUGAAGUGGGGGAUAACGUAGCGAAAGUUACGCUAAUACCGCAUAUUCUGUGAGCAGGAAAGAGGGGGAUCGCAAGACCUCUUGCUUUAGGAGCGGCCGAUGUCGGAUUAGCUAGUUGGUGAGGUAAAGGCUCACCAAGGCGACGAUCCGUAGCGGGUCUGAGAGGAUGAUCCGCCACACUGGGACUGAGACACGGCCCAGACUCCUACGGGAGGCAGCAGUGGGGAAUAUUGGACAAUGGGCGAAAGCCUGAUCCAGCAAUGCCGCGUGAGUGAUGAAGGCCUUAGGGUUGUAAAGCUCUUUUACCAGGGAUGAUAAAUGACAGUACCUGGAGAAUAAAGCUCCGGCUAACUACGUGCCAGCAGCCGCGGUAAU